rnacentral:rRNA from 1 species
AGAGUUUGAUCAUGGCUCAGGAUGAACGCUGGCGGCGUGCCUAACACAUGCAAGUCGAACGGGUGUGGUAUCAGGGAAAAGGGGUUUACUUCUUUGACCAGAUAACACACUAGUGGCGGACGGGUGAGUAACGCGUGGAUAACCUGCCUUAUACAGGGGGAUAACAGGGAGAAAUUCUUGCUAAUACCCCAUAGGUAUGUCUGACGCAUGUUGGACAUAUUAAAGCUUUGGCGGUAUAAGAUGGGUCCGCGUCUGAUUAGCUAGUUGGUGGGGUAAAGGCCCACCAAGGCGACGAUCAGUAGCCGGCUUGAGAGAGUGGACGGCCACAUUGGGACUGAGACACGGCCCAAACUCCUACGGGAGGCAGCAGUGGGGAAUAUUGCACAAUGGGGGAAACCCUGAUGCAGCGACGCCGCGUGAAGGAAGAAGGUCUUCGGAUCGUAAACUUCUAUCAGCAGGGAAGAAGGAAGUGACAGUACCUGAGUAAGAAGCCCCGGCUAACUACGUGCCAGCAGCCGCGGUAAUACGUAGGGGGCGAGCGUUAUCCGGAAUUACUGGGUGUAAAGGGUGCGUAGGCGGUAUGGCAAGUCAGUUGUGAAACCCCCUGGCUCAACCAGGGGCUUGCAAUUGAAACUGUCAUACUAGAGUGCAGGAGAGGAAAGCGGAAUUCCUAGUGUAGCGGUGAAAUGCGUAGAUAUUAGGAAGAACACCAGUGGCGAAGGCGGCUUUCUGGACUGUAACAGACGCUGAGGCACGAAAGCGUGGGGAGCGAACAGGAUUAGAUACCCUGGUAGUCCACGCCGUAAACGAUGAGUGCUAGGUGUUGGGGUCUAAUUAGAUCUCGGUGCUGAAGUUAACGCAUUAAGCACUCCACCUGGGGAGUACGAUCGCAAGAUUGAAACUCAAAGGAAUUGACGG